rnacentral:lncRNA from 1 species
GCCAAAAUGGCUGGUGCUAUGUAGAAAAGGAUUAGUCCAUUUUCUAAGUCCUCAUUGAGAGAUGAUUUAAAAAUGGUUUUCCUUAAGAAUCAGAACACAUGUCCAGCCCUCAUUAAUAUUUAUCCCAUAGUAAUGAGUUAACCCCAGCCUUAUAAAUCCUGAAUUCAAGUGGUUUGUUUAUAUUUUGGAGCAAGAUCAAUUAAAAGAAAUAUAAAAGUUUUCAAGAAUCACUAGUUGGUUACAUCACGAAUCCCAAGAGGCUGAUCCUGAAAAAUGAUUAGGGAAAUAAAAUAUUGAAUUUACACUCUUGCUAUAUCCCCAGUCCUUUUUUAUUUUUUAUUUUGAGAUAGGGUCUAAGUUGAUUAGGGCCUCGUUAAGUUGCUGAGGCUGACCUUGUACUUGUGAUCCUCUUGCCUCCCCAGCUGCUGGAAUUAUAGGUAUGCACCAUCAAUUUUGGCUUACCUUUUUUUAAAAAAAAAAAUCACUUUAGGGCCUGAGAGUAUAGCUCAUUGAUUAGCAUGCACAGGGCCCUGUUUCAAUCCCCAGUGCUGGAAAAGCCACCACCAAAACCAAACUUCAUUAGUGAGGUAUUAUUGAUGAACAAUAAACUGCACACAUUUAAAGUAUACAUUUUGGCAAGUUUGGCAUAACCCAAUCAGCAUAUCCAUUAUACUAGCCAGUAUAUUCUUGGUAUGUAUAUAAAAUACAAGGAAAUGAUUACGUGGCUUUUCAAAUACACAUAUCCUAAUCUCAUUUAGUUGCUUUUUUGUUGCUUGCUCUAUUGAGUGCAGUCAGUUGUUGAACAACUUUGGGAAUUUAGUUCUAAUAGAAAUUGUCUUUAAAUAAAGGUGCAAAAAAAAAUAAAAAAUAAAGGUGCAAGACAGUUCAAUGAGGAAAGAAUAGACUUCAACAAGUGGCUUUGGGGGCUGGGGUUGUGGCUCAGUGGUAGAGUGAUCACCUAGCAUGUGCGAGGCCCUUGGUUCAAUCCUCAGCACCACAUAAAAAUAAAUAAGUAAAAUAAAGGUACUGUGUCCAACUACAACUAAAAAAGAAAUAUAAAAAAAAGUGUCAUUGGACCACUGAAUAUUCAUAUGCAAAAUAAUGAAGUUGGACUCCUACUUACUGCCACAUAAAAAAUUUAACUCAAAACAGAUUAAAG